AGUGAACGCUGGCGGUAGGCCUAACACAUGCAAGUCGAACGGCAGCACAGUAAGAGCUUGCUCUUACGGGUGGCGAGUGGCGGACGGGUGAGGAAUACAUCGGAAUCUACUUUUUCGUGGGGGAUAACGUAGGGAAACUUACGCUAAUACCGCAUACGACCUACGGGUGAAAGCAGGGGAUCUUCGGACCUUGCGCGAUUGAAUGAGCCGAUGUCGGAUUAGCUAGUUGGCGGGGUAAAGGCCCACCAAGGCGGCGAUCCGUAGCUGGUCUGAGAGGAUGAUCACCCACCCUGGACUUGAGACACGGUCCAGACCCCUACGGAGGCAGCAGUGGGGAAUAUUGGACAAUGGGCGCAAGCCUGAUCCAGCCAUACCGCGUGGGUGAAGAAGGCCUUCGGGUUGUAAAGCCCUUUUGUUGGGAAAGAGAAGCAGCAGGUUAAUACCCCGCUGUUCUGACGGUACCCAAAGAAUAAGCACCGGCUAACUUCGUG
rnacentral:rRNA from 1 species